UUUCUUAAAACUUGUUUCAGCUUACAAGGUUUCAGGAACAGGACAGUUUUUGUUUUUAGUUAGAGAAUUGCAGCCAAAUAAUGCAGGAAGUUAGUAGAAUUCAGAAUCUACUAUAGUCUACAGGUAGAUAAUUUAUUUUGUAGUGUACAAAUUGGUGACAUUAAUCACAUUCACAAUAUUGUGCAACCAUCAUCACUAUCUAUCUCAAAAUGUUUUCAUCAUCUCAAACAGAUAUUUAGUAACCUUUAAGCAAUAACUCCUUAAUGACCCCUCACCUUUGCCCCAGUAAUCCCUAGUUUACUUACACAUUUUUCCGUUCAAUAUUUCAUAAAAUUGCAAUAAUAAUAAUUGUCCCCUUUUAUCUUGCUUAUUUCACUAACAUAAUGUUUUCAAGGUUCAUCCUUGUUGUAACAUGCAUCAGAGGUAUUUCUUUUUACGGCUGAAUAAUAUUCCACUGUGAGCAUAUACCACAUUUUGAUUCAUCAUUCAACUAUUGAUAGAUACUAGAGUCAUUUCC
rnacentral:lncRNA from 1 species